CGCAUUAAGUACCCCGCCUGGGGAGUACGGCCGCAAGGCUAAAACUCAAAGGAAUUGACGGGGCCCCGCACAAGCGGCGGAGCAUGCGGAUUAAUUCGAUGCAACGCGAAGAACCUUACCUGGGUUUGACAUAUAUCGGAAACGUUCAGAGAUGGGCGCCCCGUAAGGUCGGUAUACAGGUGGUGCAUGGCUGUCGUCAGCUCGUGUCGUGAGAUGUUGGGUUAAGUCCCGCAACGAGCGCAACCCUCGUCCAAUGUUGCCAGCGGGUUAUGCCGGGGACUCAUUGGAGACCGCCGGGGUCAACUCGGAGGAAGGUGGGGAUGACGUCAAGUCAUCAUGCCCCUUAUGUCCAGGGCUUCACGCAUGCUACAAUGGCCGGUACAAAGAGUUGCGAGCCUGUGAGGGUGAGCGAAUCUCAAAAAGCCGGUCUCAGUUCGGAUUGGGGUCUGCAACUCGACCCCAUGAAGUCGGAGUCGCUAGUAAUCGCAGAUCAGCAACGCUGCGGUGAAUACGUUCCCGGGGCUUGUACACACCGCCCGUCAAGUCAUGAAAGUCGGUAACACCCGAAGCCGGUGGNNNNNNCCGUUUGGGGGGGAGCUGUCGAAGGUGGGACUGGUAAUUAGGNNUAAGUCGUAACAAGGUAGCCC
rnacentral:rRNA from 1 species